CCCUUAGAUGUUCUGGGCCGCACGCGCGCUACACUGAGCCCUUCAUCGAGUUUACAACCUUGGUCGGUAGGUCUGGGUAAUCUUCUCAAAGGGGCUCGUGCUGGGGAUAGAUUAUUGUAAUUUUUAAUCUUCAACGAGGAAUUCCUAGUAAACGCAAGUCAACAGCUUGCAUUGAUUACGUCCCUGCCCUUUGUACACACCGCCCGUCGCUACUACCGAUUGAAUGGCUUAGUGAGCCCGAGGGACUGUUGCACCUAGAGGGUUUUCUCUCCAGGAGCAGCCGGGAACUCGGUCAAACUUGAUCAUUUAGAGGAAGUAAAAGUCGUAACA
rnacentral:rRNA from 1 species